rnacentral:lncRNA from 1 species
AGAAGCGCGCCACCGCGGGUUACAAAACCCUGUGUCAUAAUUUCACUUCGGAUUUUUUUUUUUUUCUUUCCUAGUGCUGGCUUCCCGCAGAAGGACGUUUUGUGUGUUAGGUCCAUGUGUGCGUGUGUAUUUCCUUUUGGUAAUUAUUUUGGAAAACGUUCAGAGGCUAAAAAUAGAGAAGCCAGAAGCCUCCUUGCUGCGCGACUCGCGGCCCCAAGCUCUCCAGCGCACAGGGUCCUGCUGAGACACAGCGACGACCACCGUGUGUCCCCGAGUGCCCGAGCCCCGUGCCGGGCCUGGCCGCUGAGGACGCGCUCCCCGCCACCGGCUCAUUUUCUCGGUUCUAAAACCUUCAAUGCCCGUCGCUAGCAACUUAAUCUGCGCUCUAACUCGCAGAAUUCUUUUGACCUGUUGGAGAAAAAUAGCAUUUUAAGAUGUGGGUUAUUCAAGAGGGUGGAGUCGGCUAAGUUUAGUGGACGCUAAAAAUAGCCCAGCGGUGCGGGCGGGUCAGGCCUGGGGGCGCCAGGACCUCCGCCCUCACCCUGCCCCCUACGGGCCUACGAGCCGCAGCCCUCCCAGGGCCUGUGCGUAAUUCUAGCCAAGGCCCAGUGUCAUUUCCAAGAGGUGCCUCUCGGCCGGGUUACUCAUAUGUCAGAUUCCCAUUCUCACGUUGUGUUUCACGCAGCAACUGCAUUUCCAAAGAAAAGCGUGAGUCACUACCAAGUGGCUGCAGAGGGAGGGGAGGGCCACCAUACACCGGAAGAAAGGGGGGGGGGGAAGGGGCCUUUUUAUAGCGUUCUGAGCUGGCUUUCUUUUCCAUAGGUUAAUUUUUAUCUUAACUACCAAACUUAGGCUGGAUCGCCUUUUUAUAAGAAAUCUAUUUAAAUACAAGGGAUUAUUUGAACUUCUUUUUAAAAAGCCAAGGGCAUUUUUUGUGUGGUUCUCAGCUUAUAAAUAAAAUAUAUUAAUAGUUGUUUAAUGGGCAUUUAAAAUGCCAACUGCCUGUGACUGUUUUUAGUGCAUUCUUCAAACACCACUUGGAGACCUGAAACUGCCCCCUCGGUUCAGUCCACAAGGGGACUGCCACCUUGCCAUGGGCCAGGUAUACCCAGCCCAGCGAGGCCAAGCUCAUUGCUCUGAACAGAUGGUGAUUUUCAAACUGAAUGCUAUUCUGGUGUACUUAUUUAGGAACAAGAUCUAAAAAUAGACUUGAAUGAGCAUAACCUGCAAAAAUAAGUUGUCAGCUUCUUUUUACUCCUGGAGGGUUGAAAACAAAGCUGUCAGCAAUUUCUGCGAGCUGAGGAAUCUGUAUACUUUCUUAUUUUAGAGAGAGCUUUUUCAGUGGGACUGUAAUUGAGUCCCCUUAAAUCUUUGUGUCAACAAAUUACCAUCUGUUGUUCUAGAGACUCUCAAAUUGGUGAGACUCGCUGCUGCUUACUGCCGGGGUGGAGGGGGAUGCUAUCGUUUGCCCUUGUGGACAUGAGCUUUGGAGAGGGAAUGGGUGCCGCUGGUAUCCGACGUCAUUGCAGGAAUGAGUCCAGGCUCUGCCAGCCCCCAUUACCCAGACCCUGGGGUCUUGUAGAGGUAGUGAUUGAGAGAUGCCUGGGAGUAUGGGCUUGGAGACAGGGGUGGCACUGAGGUGGAGAGGAAACCCCAGCCAGUUUUGGCGGGGCCUCAGGGGAGUCUCAACACCUGUUGGUGGCUGGGGUCAUAGUAGCCCAGAGCGCUGGGUUUUGAGUAAAUCCAUGAAGCGCUCAGCCCUUCUUUAUAAGGUACUUGGUGUAGCCUUUGUGGCAGGAAACCACAGAGCACUUACUAAUUUACAUUCCCACCAAUAGUAUAUAAGUUCCCUUUUCUCUGCAUCCUUGCUAACAUCUGUUAUUUUUUGUCUUUUUAAUAAUAGCCAUUCUGUCUGGUGUAAGAUGAUAUUUCAUUGUGUUUUUAAUUUGCGUUUCUCUGAUGAUUAAUGAUUUUGAGCAUUCUUUCUUAUGUUUGUUGGCCAUUUGUAUGUCUUCUUUUGAAAAAUGUCUAUUCAUGUUCUUUGCCCACUUUUUAAUGGGAUUAUUUGAGGUUUUUUUGUUGAGUUGUUUGAGUUUCUUAUAAAUUCUGACUGUCAGUCCCUGUCAAAAUGCAUAGUUUGCAAAUAUUUUCUCCCAUUUCACUAGUUGUUUGUUCACUCAGCUGAUUAUUUCCUUUGCUGUGCAGAAGCUUUUUAGUUUAAUUAAAUCCCAUUUGUCUGUUUUUGUUUCUGUUGCCUGUGCUUUUGAGGUCUUGGUGAUGAAUUUUUUGCCUAGACCAAUGUUGAGAAGUUUUCCCUAGGUUUUCUUUUAGUACUUUUAUAGUUUCAGAUCUUACAUUUAAUUCAUCUUGAGUUGACUUUUUUUAUCUGGUGAGAGAAUACGAUCCACUUUCAUUCUUCUGCAAAUGACAAUCCAGUUUUUCUAGCACAAUUUACUAAAAAGAGUGUCCUUCCCCCAGUAUAUGUUCUUGUUGACUUUAUCAAAGAUCAGUUGGCUAUAAAUAUGUGAUUUUAUUCCUGUGUUAUCUACUCUGCUCCAUUGAUUUGUGUGUUUAUACCAGUUCCAUGCUGUUUUGGUUACUGUAGCCUGGUGGUAUAAUUUGAAAUCAGAUAAUAUGAUGGCUCCAGCUUUGUUCUUUUUGCUUGGGAUUGCUUUGGCUAUUUGGGCUCUUUUUCAGUUCCAUAUGAAUUUUAG